AUGAAGGGUGUUGUUGCUGGCCUUGUCAUGGUGCUCAGUGCUCUCGCCGGUCUCCGGCCUGGCAAGACUACGAGAGCUGUGCCGGCGGUCUACGUGCUCGGGGAUUCGUCUCUGGACGUGGGCAACAACAAUUACCUGCCGGGGAACAGUGUCCCAAGGGCCAACAAGCCCUUCCAUGGCGUCGACUUCCCUGGACCCGGAGGACCAAGGCCCACCGGAAGGUUCAGCAAUGGCUACAAUGUGGCCGACUUCAUUGCCAAGAAUCUGGGGUUCGAGAGGAGCCCCCCGGCUUAUCUGUCGCUGAAAUCGCAUCGUCGUCUGAUCCGGACUGCUCUCCUCAGAGGCGUAAGCUAUGCAUCUGGAGGAGCUGGGAUUCUCGAUUCAACGGGCGCCGGAAACAACAUCCCGUUGUCGAAGCAGGUCGAAUACUUCCAUUCGACAAGAGCGGCGAUGGAGGCCAAGCUGGGCUCCGGCGUGGUGACCGACCUGCUCGCGGAAUCCUUCUUCCUCAUCGGCAUCGGCAGCAACGACCUGAUACAGUUCGUCACGGCGAAGAACAAGUCGGCGACACAGAGCGACGUGGCCGCGCUCUACGGCAGCCUCAUCUCCAACUACUCCGCCACCAUCACGGAUCUGUACAUGAUGGGCGCGAGGAAGGUCGGCAUCAUCAACGCGGGCCUGUCUGGGUGUAUCCCAAUGGCCCGCGCGGACGACGCGACCGGCGCAUGCAACGACGGCACAAACGAGCUCGCGGCCGGGUUCAAUGGCGCCCUCGAGUCCUUCCUCGCCGACCUAGCGCCCAGGCUGCCGGGCCUGGCCUACUCCCUCGCCGACGGCUUCGCCCACAGGCAAGUCCUCAUCGCCGACCCGCAGGCUGCAGGCUUCGUGAGCGCGACCAGCGCGUGCUGCGGGAGCGGGAGGCUCGGUGGGGAGGGCGAUUGCCUGCCGACGUCGAACAUCUGCCGCCACCGUGAUGGCUACGUCUACUGGGACUGGGUGCAUGCGACACAGCGGGCCGCUAAGAUGGCCGCCGAGGCGUUCUUCCAUGGCCCGGCGCAGUUUACCAUGCCUCUUACUUUCAAGCAGCUGGCAGAGAAGAAAGGGGCCGACCUAAUGGAACAAUAA
rnacentral:rRNA from 1 species